rnacentral:rRNA from 1 species
AACGCGAAGAACCUUACCCAGGCUUGACAUCCUUGGAAUUUCUCCGAAAGGAGAGAGUGCUUUAUUGAGCCAAGUGACAGGUGCUGCAUGGCCGUCGUCAGCUCGUGUCGUGAGAUGUUUGGUUAAGUCCAUCAACGAGCGCAACCCUUGUAGUUAGUUGAAUUUUUCUAGCUAGACUGCCCUGGUAACAGGGAGGAAGGGGGGAUGAUGUCAGGUCAGUAUUGCCCUUACGUCUGGGGCUACAAACACGCUACAAUGGCCGGUACAAAGGGCAGCCAAGUCGCGAGACGGAGCAAAUCCCAUCAAAGCCGGUCUCAGUUCGGAUAGCAGGCUGAAACUCGCCUGCUUGAAGUCGGAAUCGCUAGUAACGGUAGGUCAGCUAUACUACCGUGAAUACGUUCCCGGGCCUUGUACACACCGCUCGCGA